rnacentral:lncRNA from 1 species
CACAAUCGAAGAGUAACAAUUAAUCGGAUCAAAAUGAGGGGAUCUUUUAAGAACUAAGUCACCAAAAGUUUUAUCAAUAAUUUUCAAAUCUGCACUGGACUCGGUUUCUAAAAUUUCCUUACCUCGCUUACCUUCGGGAUCAUGUAGUGUGAUUUCAUCUUUGCUUAAGUUGAUCGUAUGAAAGCGUCUUUCAUUUGAGAGGUAUUGAAGUUGAAAGUUAUCUUUUGAUCUUUCGGGAACCUGAAAAGUAGCAACACAAGAAAAAUUCAUAUCUUGGUUAGUGGAAACAUUCCUCACUACCCUUUCCACGUCUUUUUCUUUUGUUUCUUUUUCUAAUUCAUUUUCUCUUCUUUCUUCAAUUUCUU